GUGUACGCUUGAGCAGCACAUACACUAAAAUUGGAACAAUGCAGAGAAGAUGAGCACGGCCCCUGCACAGGAUAUCAUACAAAUUCAUGAAGCAUUCCAUCUUUUU
ensembl:snRNA U6 U6 spliceosomal RNA